rnacentral:rRNA from 1 species
CCCUUAGAUGUUCUGGGCUGCACGCGUGCUACACUGAUUAUUUCAACAAGUGUUUUAACUGGAGAGUUUGCGUAAUCCUGAAAUGUUAUCGUGAUGGGAGUAGAGUAUUGUAUUUGUUAAUCUUUAACGAGGAAUUCCUAGUAAGUGUAGGUUUAUAAGUUGUUCUGAUUACGUCCCUGCCCUUUGUACACACCGCCCGUCGCUCCUACCGAUUGAUUGAUCCGGUGAAUUACAUAGAAUUUUGCGUUUUACAUGACGGAAGACGAAGUGUUUUAAAUCUUAUCAUUUAGAGGAAGGAGAAGUCGUAACA